GCAGUGGUGGUUCAGUGAUAGAAUUCUUGCUUUCCAUGUGGGAGACCUGUGUUCGAUUCUCGGCCAAUGCA
rnacentral:tRNA from 1 species